AUAAAAUCAUCUCCGCCUUCCGUUUCCUCGCCUAUCUUUCUCAUUUUUACUUGAGAUUCAUUCAUGAUGGCAGCCAUCUUAACUGUCUCUUACUAUUGUGUUCUGCUUCCAAUAGCAGAUGGCUGUUACCAUAUUGCCUUGUCCUGUCAUCCAGUGAGUAAGUUAGAAACUAAUACCUAUCACAUACCAUUCUAUCACACCAAACAAGCGGGAAGGUCAAAUAUUGCUUAUUUGAUGGCAGUGGCGCUUGCCAUUAUGUUCCCCCGAGCAGCUCAAUUAUAUUUCUUUCACGCUAAAAAUGGUUAUCACCAACUGUAGGGUCAAGCCUCGGAAACAAAAUUAUAUAUCGCGUGAUUAGUAGACGGCAAAUAUUAUCGACGUUUUAAUAUUUCCACGGGUGGUCGACUAAUAAAGGAAUGGUAGAAGAAAUUGGAAAUUAAAUGGUGGUAAUUUAUACGGUAAGGAACAAUAUGGGGUCCGAAAUUUUACGCCUCAAAACUUACCUAGAUAAAUAAUUUUGAAAUUUUCUCGAUGACUGGUAUAACAAGGUACCGAAUAGUGCCGACAGUGCGAAAUAAGGUUUUUGUUACCCUUAUACCUCCAAUAAUUGGCCAGGCAUCUAAUAAUCAUAAUUACAUAUAAUUCAGUUUUAACGAAACUUAUUAUAUAGUUUUUAUUAUUUGUUAAGUUUUUCUAUAUACGAGGUAAAACUUUAUCUCAUAAAACAUCCACACUUCCGAAAUAUUAGCCUAAUGGGCCAUAUGGCCGAAACGAUAUAUCUAAUUAUAUAUAACCAAUCGUCGUAUUAUCAAAAUUAUCCGACUAUCAAUAAAAAAAUUUCCACCGCUAUUAAAAUUAUUCCACUUAACAAAUUCUCAUCGAUAAGAUAUAAAAAUAGUUUGGACCAAUUAACGGCCAUUACCAUGUCUGUUUACUAGCACACGGUCACGUUUAUUUCUGGUUAUGACCAGCAAUAUCUUCGAAGAAGUUAGAUACGGUAUUGGGUCAUCCAGCGGUUGAUUAGGGUUUGGGUUUCGAACUAUUUCUAUAGCUCGGAACCCAGGCCUUAAUCAGCCGCUGAAUAAACUCUUUCUAUCUAAAAUUACGCAAUAGACAAGAUUAAAGUGGAUUAAUUUAUAGUAGCCGGCCGUGGUCACUUACUUCCAAAACAAAUUAUUAUCUGAAUAUUGUUUGAAAUUGUUGGUACCGUAUCGAAAAUCGUAUUCCUUUUAAGAAAUUUUUAAAGCUUUUAUUUUCGAGGCCAUAAAAUUUUAUUUAAAUAUGACCGAUAACACCGAUGCGCUAUAAUUAACUUAAUUAAUAUUUGCUGGAUAAGAAUGGGUUAAUAGGUUCUAAUCGAUAAACUACCGACCGAUUCCCACUGAUACUUUUACUUAUCGAUGUUGGUUGUUAGGUGAAUGGUCACCGAUUAGACCAGUGGUUCUCAACCUAUUCGAGGUGUUCCGCGAAAUAAUUUAUUAAAUAAUUAAGUAUUAAAUAUUCAUGUAAUCGGA
rnacentral:lncRNA from 1 species